rnacentral:rRNA from 1 species
UACGUAGGUGGCAAGCGUUGUCCGGAUUUACUGGGCGUAAAGAGCGCGCAGGCGGUCGUUCAAGUCGCGUGUGAAAGCCCCCCGGCUCAACUGGGGAGGGUCACGCGAUACUGAUCGACUCGAAGGCAGGAGAGGGUAGUGGAAUUCCCGGUGUAGUGGUGAAAUGCGUAGAUAUCGGGAGGAACACCGGUGGCGAAGGCGGAUCUCUGGGCCGUAACUGACGCUGAGGAGCGAAAGCAUGGGGAGCAAACGGG